GUGGGGAAUAUUGGGCAAUGGGGGAAACCCUGACCCAGCAACGCCGCGUGAGGGAAGAAGGUUUUCGGAUUGUAAACCUCUGUCCUUGGUGACGAAGGAAGUGACGGUAGCCAAGGAGGAAGCCCCGGCUAACUACGUGCCAGCAGCCGCGGUAAUACGUAGGGGGCAAGCGUUGUCCGGAAUGACUGGGCGUAAAGGGCGUGUAGGCGGCCGAUUAAGUCUGGAGUGAAAGUCCUGCUUUCAAGGUGGGAAUUGCUUUGGAGACUGGUUGGCUUGAGUGCGGAAGAGGUAAGUGGAAGUCCCAGUGUAGCGGUGAAAUGCGUAGAGAUUGGGAGGAACACCAGUGGCGAAGGCGACUUACUGGGCCGUAACUGACGCUGAGGCGCGAAAGCGUGGGGAGCGAACAGGAUUAGAAACCCCUGUAUCC
rnacentral:rRNA from 1 species